GAAAGUGAAAAAAGAAGGCAAUGCAUUAGAAAAGGAGCUAGCCGAAGCAAAAGAAGUGAAAUCACAGAGCAUCAAAACAUGAAAUUGGAACGUGACCUCUGCUUGUUCAGAUUUGCUUUCACACAAGAAGGAGAAAGAAGCCUUGCUGAGAAGUUCUAUGAGAAAAUAUGGAGAAUUCACCAAGAACACAAGAGCGAUAUGCUAAAGAAAUUGAAAUGAAACUACAACCGGAAAUCCCUGUUAGAAGUCCACACUGCAAUCGAUUGUAGAAACUCAGUUGAAUACGGGCUAGUAAGAAUCUGGAAAAGAGCAAAAUCCAACUUCUGCUUGAGAAACAGCAG